CUACCUGGCAUUCCCUAGUACGGCGAGUGAAGUGGGAAAAGCUCAACUUUGAAAUCUGGCUGUUUUACAGUCCGAGUUGUAGUCUCGAGAAGUGUUUUCCGCGUUAAACCGUGUAUGAGUCUGUUGGAACACAGCGUCAUAGAGGGUGAGAACCCCGUUCAUGACACGGCUUUUAAUGCUUUGUGAUGCAUUUUCGAUGAGUCGAGUUGUUUGGGAAUGCAGCUCAAAUUGGGUGGUAAAUUCCAUCUAAAGCUAAAUAUUGGCGAGAGACCGAUAGCAAACAAGUACCGUGAGGGAAAGAUGAAAAGCACUUUGGAAAGAGAGUUAAAAGUACGUGAAAUUGUCGAAAGGGAAACGCUUGAAGUCAGACGUGCACGGGAUUUAUUCCUAUUGCAGGCCAACAUCGGUUUUACGAGCCGGAUAAAGGUACAAGGAAGGUAGCAGUUUCGGCUGUGUUAUAGCCUCGUACUGAAUACGGAUUGUGAGACCGAGGGACGCAGCGCGCCGCAAGGCAAAGGGUCCGCCCUUUUCGCGCUUAGGAUGUUGGUGAAAUGGCUUUAAUCGACCCGUCUUGAAACACGGACCAAAAAAA
rnacentral:rRNA from 1 species